UGUUUCAAGCAUUUUCCAUCAGCAUAGUCAGAGCUGCCCCGCUGGGCCUCCUGGAAGGUCAAGACCAUUCAGGCUAAAGGUUCAGGGGCUCCAGCCCCUCCCCUCGCUCUCCCCAAGAAGGAGAGACACUUCAGCAUCACAUGUUUUUGCAACGAUCAAAUGACAUAAAGGUUGUGAGAAGGCUUUAUCAACUAUAAAGCUCUUUCAAAUCCAAGAGAUUAUAAUCAUAAUCAAAGUCCACUUCCCAACCCAGGCAGGACUGGUUACUGCAGAAAACCCGCCCAGCGAGCGCUCGGUGCCAGCAACCUGCAGUCCCCUUUAUCCAAAAUAGCGUCUUCCCCACCGUGCCCUCCCCUUCCCACCCCCUGCCUCUCCUCGGGGGAGGGAGUCCAGCCGGCCUCCUGCCUCAUCACUUCAUCCCGGCCCUGACCCAGCCGCUUCCCAGCAGAGCUUGGCUGUUCCUUGAACUUUGAGUGUUGGUUCGAUUUCCUCCAGUGGUACCACAUGCUGCUGUGCAAACAGAGCACGUGGUCCCGCCAAACAAAGGAACAUGUGUGCUGCAAACCAUCCCCCUAUCACGGGAGCUCCGCGCUCCGCCAGGAGAGGGCCGAGCCUGCGCACUCGAGUUUUCCCGGGCAGUUCCCACCCUGGGCACUUGCCCAGAGAAAUACCUGAGGAUAGAGACAAUGGACAGGAAGAUGGCUUCUGUAAAUUGUCGAGCUCCAUAAGGAUGUCGCUAUCUAUUGUUACUACUGUGGAGAGAAGCAGCUGCUCGUAGUGGAAAGGGUUCUGCAACUAGAGUCAGAAGGCCUGAGUCUGAGCCAAGAUGCUGCCAGUGAGGAGCAGUGAUAUCUUGGUCACAUCACCAAACCUCGGUUUCCACAUCUAAAACGGGGACACACUGAUUCUGUUUGCUCCAGACCGUCGUUGAGGAGGGAUGGGCAUCUGUCUGGGGCAUCUGUCAUCAGUGGCUGCCAGGAUUAUGCAGAUUAACCCAUGAAAAAUUCUUAAAACAUCAAAGACCUGACAAGAGAAAUUGAAGAGGAACCAGAAAUCUUGAAAGGAAAGCUGACCACGGAAGCUUUUUACCUCCUGAGGGUAUCCUUACACAUUUAACCUACUGUUUUGGUGUGAGAUGUGUAGUGCAGAAUUAAGAAUCUGGGCUCAAACAUGGUGAGGAGUCUUGUAGAAGACAAUACAAGGUAGUUCUGGAAUGAUGGUUCUCUUGGGCACCUGACGGAAAAAAAAGUAUUCUAUGAAGAACAAUACUGAGAUCAUUCCUACAAUUUUUUUUUUCAAGUACAAAAAUCAGCACACUGCCAAAGAUAGCCAAGUAUACAAGAAAACAAAUUGACAUGAGUAAGAACUGAUAAAAACAAACAAGCAAAAAACAAAAUGGAAAAGUCUUACAAAGGCUUUAGAUAUUGGAUUAUCAGGCCUAUAAAACAGCUGUAUUUAAUAUGCUUGAAGAAAUAGAAGACCAGUGUGAAAAUGACUUCAAAUAAUAGGAUACUAUAAAAAAAAGACAUCACAAUUUGAUGAAAGAACCAAACGGAAAACUCCUAGAAAUAAAAAUGUCAUAACUGAAAUGAUCUCAAUUAUUUAUCAGGGGAUUAGCCAUAACUGAAGAAAUUAUUAGUAGACUGGUAGAUAGGCCAGAAGAAAUUGUAUAGUAUGCAGUACUGAGUGACAAAGUGAUGGGAAGCACAGAAGAAAAGGUAAGAGUUGCAAAGGGCUGAGUGAUAGGGGCUGACAGCUUCAAUGUGUCUUCAAAUGAGAGGAGAAAAUGGGCCAGAGAUAAUAUCUAAAGAGCUAGGUGCUGCAAAUUCGUAGAACAUCUGAGAUUUGCAAAGCCACAGUUUUAAAAGGCUCAAUGAAUCCCAAAAGGAUAAACACAAAGAUGCCUAUCCCUAGAUACAUUAUAGUAAAACUGUACAACAUCAUAGACAAAGAGGAAAACCUUAACUACAGCCAGAGGAAAAAAAGUUUUAUUACCUUUAAAAGAAUAAGAGCUAGUCUAAAGUUGACUUCUCAGGAGCAGCAAUAGAAGCCAGAAGAUAGUGAAAUAUUAAUCUCAAUUUGAUGUAAUAACUGCCAACCAAGAAUGCCAUACUCAGGAAAAGUAUCUUUCAAGAUGAAAGUAAAUAAAGAUAUUUUUAAAUAAGCAAAAACUGAAUUUCUCACCAGCGCACUUUCUUUAUAGGAAAUUCAGAGAUUUGUUCUUCAUGCAGAAGGAAAUUGUAGAUAGAAGUUCUAAGGUGCAAGAAAAAAAGAGUCAAGAAACUAGUAAACCUGUGGUAAAUAUAAAUUAAAUUUAUUUGCAUAAAACAAUAAUAAUAUUAACUUGUGCUUGAAAAAAAAAAUGAAUGAAUAAGCAGGACAUUAGCAUAUCCACUGCGGUGUGCCUGAAACAGCCUCUUUUGGACGUGAGGAGAAAAUUGUGAGGGACACAAGGAAGCGAAAGAGUGAUCUCCUGAAUGAAGAGGUGGCAGAUCGGAGGUGAAGGCUGAAGUAUCUCUGAGAAGGGCAGCAAAGCCAGCUUCUCUCCACCAGGGAAAAGGGUGUGGAGAAAUAAAACACACGAGCUAGCGGGACUGCAAAUACGAAAGCAGGAGAGGAUGGGGUGAGGACGCUCGGAACACUAAUAUUUCUCCUCAAGUUACUCAUUUCCUGUGGAGGGACUCCAUGACGUGAGGCUUACUUCCUGUCCUGUUUGUGCGGCCGCCCUGCGGUCCCCGCCGAGGAGUGCCGGAGGAAGGCACGGCGGACAGGCUGAUGUAAGAGGGCUGAAAGAGGAUGACAUGUCAACAGCACAAACAUUCGUUUCAGAAUCUGACCGGCUGCUGGUGUGAAAAUGUCAAAAGUGGGCUCUGCCCUGGGAUGUUGAGGAGGUGUGAUGUUAAUGGUGGUGACACAGAUGGAGUCAGCGAGAGCUUUGGCAGCAGCGUCCAAAGACGCAGGGCUUCAGCGUUCUGUGGGUUUCGAUGGCUGGGGUUGCUGCCGUAGAGAUGGAUGCACAAAGUCUCACGCCUCAUCCUGUGGUUUCUAGCUCCGGAUCCAGCUGUUCCAGGAGCGGGGUGUGAACUGAUUCUGUGUGUCCGAGUCUGUUGGGAGUGUGUUGGGUUGUGGUGAGGAAAGCACUCAACUCUAAAUUUGAAAUGUCUGAUUGCUUCACCAUUUCCUUCAGUGAACUCCUUGAGGCAAGGAUAGUAUUCUUUACCUUCAUGUCACCUAGGGUAAAGUAGGUGCUCAGUAACAGCUUUUAAAAAAGUGCCAAACUCCUCUUAGGUGGCAAUGGGCUUUCAAAUUUAAUUCUUUGUAAUAUCACUGGCAUCUCUAUUUUCCCUUUCUUCUAUUCAGUACCUCCUGGGGAGUUCAUUUAGUGCUAACUGAAUUUGGGAAAAAAUUUGAUAUCUUUUGGCCUUUUAUGUAGCCACUUACCAGAGUCAGAAAAUUGUUUUGUACUAAGAUUGUGUUAGUCUGUUUUACAGCAGCAAUGUAAAGGAUGGGCCUGUUUAUCAGUUGUCACCUACUAACAAAACCAGGCAGUCCAACUUGUCAACAUUAAUGUGUUUUCAAAAGCCAUAUUCAAAGAAUUUUUCCACUGGAGGAAUUGGAAAGCUAUGACUGAUUUAUCAGCUAAGAAACUAGUGGUAUUGGAGAGAAUGAUAACAGUGCUAAUGGGCUGAUGCCACUUUGUAUAUCCCUGCUUCAUUCCUAAUGGUUGAAAGACCUGAAGGUCUGAAAAAAAAAUGUU